rnacentral:rRNA from 1 species
AUUGAACGCUGGCGGCAGGCCUAACACAUGCAAGUCGAACGGUAACAGGAAGAAUCUUGCUUCUUUGCUGACGAGUGGCGGACGGGUGAGUAAUGUCUGGGAAACUGCCUGAUGGAGGGGGAUAACUACUGGAAACGGUAUCUAAUACCGCAUAACGUCGCAAGACCAAAAAGGGGGACCUUCGGGCCUCUUGCCAUCGGAUGUGCCCAGAUGGGAUUAGCUAGUAGGUGGGGUAACGGCUCACCUAGGCGACGAUCCCUAGCUGGUCUGAGAGGAUGACCAGCCACACUGGAACUGAGACACGGUCCAGACUCCUACGGGAGGCAGCAGUGGGGAAUAUUGCACAAUGGGCGAAAGCCUGAUGCAGCCAUGCCGCGUGUAUGAAGAAGGCCUUCGGGUUGUAAAGUACCUUCAGCGGGGAGGAAGGGAGUAAAGUUAAUACCUUUGCUCAUUGACGUUACCCGCAGAAGAAGCACCGGCUAACUCCGUG